GACGAACGCUGGCGGCGUGCUUAACACAUGCAAGUCGAACGGUAAGGCCCUUCGGGGUACACGAGUGGCGAACGGGUGAGUAACACGUGGGUGACCUGCCCUGCACUUCGGGAUAAGCCUGGGAAACUGGGUCUAAUACCGGAUAGGACCACUGCCUGCAUGGGUGGUGGUGGAAAGCUUUUGCGGUGUGGGAUGGGCCCGCGGCCUAUCAGCUUGUUGGUGGGGUGAUGGCCUACCAAGGCGACGACGGGUAGCCGGCCUGAGAGGGUGACUGGCCACACUGGGACGGAGACACGGCCCAGACUCCUACGGGAGGCAGCAGUGGGGAAUAUUGCACAAUGGGCGCAAGCCUGAUGCAGCGACGCCGCGUGAGGGAUGACGGCCUUCGGGUUGUAAACCUCUUUCAGCACCGACGAAGCGCAAGUGACGGUAGGUGCAGAAGAAGGACCGGCCAACUACGUGCCAGCAGCCGCCGUAA
rnacentral:rRNA from 1 species